AGUUACAUUAACGAAAAAGCAAUCCGGCGAGGGAAAGGCGGAGAGUUGUAGCUGGCCCUAGGCAACGUGCACGCUCUCUUCUGGACUUUCGUCGUAUGGGCGUGGGGGGGCGACCCCUCGCGUCUUCAUAUACCUCUUCGUGUAGAAAGUCUUUGAAUGUCAUCAUCAUCAUGGAGUCGCGACUUCCAGGAGACGCGAUUCUUUGAGACAAAAGUUAUUACAACUUUCAGCAACGGAUCUCUUGGCUCUCGCAUCGAUGAAGAACGCAGCGAAUCGCGAUAUGUAAUGUGAAUUGCAGAUCUACAGUGAAUCAUCGAAUCUUUGAACGCACCUUGCGCUCCUCGGUGUUCCGAGGAGCAUGCCUGUUUGAGCGUCAGUAAAUUCUCAACCCCUCUCGAUUUUUUUUCGUGCGGGUGCUUGGAUGGUGGGGGCUGCCGGAGACCUGGAUACGUUCAGGACUCGGGCUCCUCUGAAAUGAAUCGGCUUGCGGUCGACUUUUCGACUUUGCAUGACAAGGCCUUUGGCGUGAUAAUGAUCGCCGUCGCCGAAGUGCACGACAGAAUCCGUCCCGUGC
rnacentral:misc_RNA from 1 species